CGUGUCAAUCAUCUGCAACCAUAGCAACCACGUCAGCUGGAGAAAAGACACCAAAGAGAAACAACAAGUGUGUCCAUUUGGUGCUGAAGAAGUGUGCGCCCAAGAGACAGAGUCUGAGAGGAGCUGGUGUUUGGUGAAGACUGUGGUGUUCUCUGUGGGGCUGCUGCUCAUGGUGUCCUCCGUCAUCACUGUCCAUGUGCUGGACUGCACCAGGAAGAAAAACAACUGAACUACUGCAGUGACACGUCUUUACCACAGGGGGGCAGUAACAAACUCCUCUAUCUGCUGCACUUCCUCUUUCAGGUUCAAUAUUCUCA
rnacentral:lncRNA from 1 species